AUUGAACGCUGGCGGCAUGCUUUACACAUGCAAGUCGAACGGUAACAGGUUAAGCUGACGAGUGGCGAACGGGUGAGUAAUGCAUCGGAACGUGCCCGGUCGUGGGGGAUAACGCAGCGAAAGCUGCGCUAAUACCGCAUACGAUCUGAGGAUGAAAGCGGGGGACCGUAAGGCCUCGCGCGAUCGGAGCGGCCGAUGUCAGAUUAGGUAGUUGGUGGGGUAAAGGCUCACCAAGCCGACGAUCUGUAGCUGGUCUGAGAGGACGACCAGCCACACUGGGACUGAGACACGGCCCAGACUCCUACGGGAGGCAGCAGUGGGGAAUUUUGGACAAUGGGCGCAAGCCUGAUCCAGCAAUGCCGCGUGCAGGAAGAAGGCCUUCGGGUUGUAAACUGCUUUUGUACGGAGCGAAAAGGCUUCCUCUAAUACAGGGGGUCCAUGACGGUACCGUAAGAAUAAGCACCGGCUAACUACGUGCCAGCAGCCGCGGUAAUACGUAGGGUGCGAGCGUUAAUCGGAAUUACUGGGCGUAAAGCGUGCGCAGGCGGUUUUGUAAGACAGGCGUGAAAUCCCCGGGCUCAACCUGGGAAUGGCGCUUGUGACUGCAAGGCUGGAGUGCGGCAGAGGGGGAUGGAAUUCCGCGUGUAGCAGUGAAAUGCGUAGAUAUGCGGAGGAACACCGAUGGCGAAGGCAAUCCCCUGGGCCUGCACUGACGCUCAUGCACGAAAGCGUGGGGAGCAAACA
rnacentral:rRNA from 1 species